GUGCGCGUUGGCUCCCGGCCUGCGGCCGCUGCGCACCGCCAUCUUCCUGGUGGACCGCCGCCUCACCGUCCUGGGCAGCCCGCUGCUGCUGUCGCUCCGCAACAUCGCCGCAGUCAAGGCCGCCCUCACCGGGGAUGACGCCAACCCUAAGCCUGAAAACGUCACUAUCAACCACAGAGCACUGUGUCUCGGAGGCUGCAAACGCGGUGACGGCCCCGUGUGUGGCAGCGACGGCCGGGACUUCCCCGACACGUGUGCCCUGCGGCAGGCCUCCUGCCACUCCGACGUCGCCAUCACCGUCCUUUACCGAGGUGUCUGCGAGCCGUGCCGGGACGUGCGGUGCAGCGAGGAGGGCGCGGUG